rnacentral:lncRNA from 9 species
AGCCAUGACGUUCUUCCGAGGGCAAAUGGACAAAGAAAUUGUGGUUCAUCCAGACCAUGGGGUGUUAUUCGUUACUAAAAAGAAAUGAGCUAUCCAGCCCUGAUAAGACAUAGAGGAAGCGUAAGUCCAUAGUCCUCAGCGAAAGAAGCCUGUCGGAAAAGACCGUGGGUCACCGGUUACAUAACAUCCUGGAAAAGAUCAAAAAUUGAAAGAAAAGCAUCAAGAAGGAGAUCCAAACUCAGCAAAGCAAGGAGGGAAUCCUUCACACACUAGAUCUACAUCUUAAGAGUGUGAGCUCCCAUGGACCAGAGGCUCCAACAGCCUAGCUCAUUCUCCUUAUUGCCAGAAUCACCGACUUUAGAAAAAAAUAAUAAUCACCCCAGCAGUGUUUGGCAUUGGAGCCACCCCUGGACAAAGGUGUGAAGCUGGUCCGGAACUGACUCUCAGCUCCUCUUCCUCCUCCCCAAAAGGCUUUGUCUCGUUACCUCCUUGCUUAGCUCUUCAAGGCCCGCCUCCCGCCAGUGAUGGUCAGAAGAGUUACACGGCUUUUGCGUCUAAGUUCCCAGAAGACUGAGAAGCCUCAAGCUUCAGAGCCAGAAUCUCUAAGGGUUUGAUUCCAGGCACUUAGAUGAUCCAGAGGGAAGGAUCAUUUUGAGCUGUGGUCCUACAGGUAGAAGAGCAGUGCGCCUGCUCUCGGGUCCCCUUGAUGAGGACACAGAGCAGAGACACAGGUCCUCCCAGGGACCGAACACAGCACUGCUCCUGAACCUCGAGCAGGUGGGAAGAUUUCAAGCUCGUCUGUUUCAAGCUCUCUUGUAAAUCCUUCCCAUAAAGCCUUAUCCUGUCUCCCGUGCGUGGGGCCAGCAGCGCUUCCUUUGAUACUGAAAGUGAUGGAACUGCCCAGCACAGCCCACGACUUAAAUGAGGUUUUCUGUUCCUCGGUGAUCAGAUUUGACUGUGAUUUGAUUUCCGAAUGCAGAGAACACAGAUCACUCACGGCGCUGGGGCUUAACACGGCUGCCGUCUUUGCCUCGCGUCCACAUGCUGACAGGAGAGAAGAGAGAGAGAACUUGAAAUAUGAGUCUGUCUGGCGGUCCAGGAUGGAGAAGGAAACCACAGCCCCGCCAGGAAAUUGAUGCCUGCCUUUCCCAGACACAUCACGUUGCUGAGAUGGAUGGAUUUCCGGCGGGCAGACCCUUUCGCAGCUCCCUGCCUGCAGCACCUGCCCCCGGCUCCCCCAUCCCCAUCUGCUCCCGCACAUCUCCCGGCUCCUUUAGCCGAGAUUUCAGCCACCUGCCUCCCGCCUCUCCCUGCUGCUGACCCCUUUCCAGUCUGACUACUGAACCCAGGUUUUCCUGCCUCUCAAUUCCUCCAACUCCAACUGUCACUGUCCCAUGAGCUUCUGAACUAGUGCCAGCUCGGAGGGCCAUGGGACCCUCAGAAGGCUUUCUUUCACACCUCAGGUGCUGUGUCCACCUCCUUCUGGCCCACUUCCAUCCACAUUUUGGUCAAAAUCCACAGCUCGAAUAGGAUCUCAGGUGCGGAUGUACUGGAAAAGUACGAGAAGCGUGUAGAGAAGAACUAAGUAGCUCAGCUCACAGUCCACUGACCUCCAGACCUGUACCUGAGCCCAGUGGGGACCAGAAGAACCACCAGCCCUACAGCCACUAUGGAGAACAGUAUGGAGGUGCCUUAGAAAUCUAUAUCUAGAACUACCACAUGACCCAGCAAUCCCACCCUUGGGCACACAUCCGGACAAAACUUUCCUUAAAAAAGACACAUGCACCCACAUGUUCACUAAAGCACUAUUCACAAUAGCCAAGACAUGGAAACAACCCAAAUGCCCAUCGACAGAUGAUUGGAUUAGGAAGAUGUGGUAUAUAUACAUGGGGGAAUACUACUCAGCCGUAAAAAAGAACGAAAUAAUGCCAUUUGCAGCAACAUGGAUGGAACUAGAGACUCUCAUAAUGAGUGAAGUAAGUCAAAAAGAGAAAGACAAAUACCUUAUGAUAUCACUUAUAUCUGGAAUCUAAUACACAGCAUGAAUGAACCUUUCCACAGAAAAGAAAAUCAUGGACUUGGAGAAUAGACUUGUGGUUGCCAAGGGGGAGGGGGAGGGAGUAGGGUGGACUGGGAGCUUGGGGUUAAUGGAUGCAAACUAUUUUCUUUGGAAUGGAUUAGCAAUGAGAUCCUGCUGCAUAGCACUCGGAACUAUGCCUAGUCACAUGAUAAUGUGAGAAAACAGAAUGUGUACAUGUAUGCAUAACUGAGUCACCAUGCUAUACAGUAGGAAAAAAAAAUUGUAUUGGGGAAAUAAUUUAAAAAAAUAAAUUUGGAGUUCCCAUUGUGG